rnacentral:tRNA from 1 species
AAUAUAGUGCCUGAUUUAAAAGGAUAGCUUUGAUAGAGCUAAAAAUGUAUAAUUCCAUACCUAUAUUA